GGGGAAUCACGUAACUGCCUUUUGUUCGUCUAGGGCUGAGCUGCUGCCUUGGACUGCCGUUUGCACCUGAGCCACCAAACAGACCCCCAAUUUGUGCAGGCUGCAGGAUUGGUUUCAAAUUGGUCUCCAGAUAUGUGUGAUGCCAAUUUGAAAUGAAGCUUUUUUUAGCAGAGUAUGAGCAGCCGUAGCAGAAGAACCUGGUUAUUUGCAACAUCCAGUCAUUGACAUCUCUUGAGAGAUUUUGGGGCGCCAGAAUCAAGACAAUAAGCUUGUAUCUUAGAAAAAAGAUGAACAUUGUGCCUGCCUGCUAUAUAUACACACGUAGUAGUGUAGUACUAUAAUUCCAUUAUACUGUUUUCUUGAGAAGGAUGAAGCCUGAGAAUUGACAGCAUCUAUCCAUCUUUAACUGAAUUUUGUUCUUCUCCAA